GGUUCAGCACGUGCAGGAAGUGCCCUGGAAAUACCAAGCUUAUUUUGAAAUUUAUCAUGGAAAACAUGAUAGAGCAUAUGCAUACAUUUAAAAAAUGUGGCCCUACUCAAUCUGGUCAACUAAAUGUCUUCAGUCCUCUUAAACACGGGCCAUGGGAACCGCAUCCAGAUUCCUCAUCUUUCCAAAGAACCGGCCAGAUUGUAUCAGUUGUUUUGAAAUGAUCGGUUGCGGGACCCGCUCUUCCAGCUAAAGUUUUCUGCAGAAGGUCUGGCGAAGCUAUGUAUGGGUCUGGCACAUGGAUGGAUAUGACGGUCUCUUUAAGUUGUGUCCAGUCUUCUGUUAUUAUACUGCACACUUGGGAUAAAUUAUGAUGGGUUCCGCCAAGUUGCCCUCAGAGAAGUUUUUCGAUCUUAUACUCCUCCCAACUUGCCCCAUGUGAGGGACCAGCUCCCCCCACGUUCAUAAGAGCAUCUGCAGAGUUUCACAGAGCAAAACGAUUCUGUCCACACCCUGGGGCUCCGGCACUCCAAACAGACUAUUUUUAGUAAGGAAAGACUUUUUUUUUUUUUUUUUAAGGGGAAACGGCACUUCUGUAUUUUUGGAUGUGCUUCCUAAGAAAAUAAGACGUAAUAACAAAGCAAUCUGUUCUGAGGAAUUUUGUUCCCUGACCAAGUUUAAUUUAUAUGAGACAAUCUUCAACCCGAUCUUAACCUCUCACUCCCGGAAAGACCGAAUUCAGUCUCUAAAAUCAUCGGCUUCUAUGGCUAGACUAUUACUUUUUCCCAGAUGAACAUUUCAUGCAUAAGAGAACGGAAAAAAAUACUCAGUGCUGAUUUCACUUGGGACUGUUAUUAUCUAAAUAGACUUGCAUGCUGUCCUGGGAGAUCGAGUGGGAACAGCAGCGAACAUCAAGGCCUCGUCUCUCUUAAUGAUGGCAAGAUAAUGGCUUUCGGUGUUGGGUGGUGCCAGCUACAAUGCCAGCUGCUGGCAUAUUUAUUUAGGGAGGGCUUCCGGCAGGACAAAGGAUCCACAGGGAGGAGAAAGAACAAAGACACUUUAAAUCCACCUCAGUCCGCAGCAGGAGGAAACACUCUUCCAUUUUAUUUUGAAAAUUAUGCUUUUACUUCCUGAAGCCAGCAGGACAUCUAGUGUCUCUAUACAUAAAAAAAUUGUGUGCCAGCAAUGUUGGAAUGCAGGUGUUUUCCUUCAAAUGAUCCCCUACAACCAGAAGACUCAGCUAACUCAGAGCUCGAGAGCCCAAAUUGGUGACCACAACACUUUCCUCUUCCUUAGUGACAAG